AGAGGGUGCAAACGUUGUUCGGAAUUACUGGGCGUAAAGCGUGUGUAGGCGGCCGCGUAAGUCGGGUGUGAAAGCCCCAGGCUUAACCUGGGAAGUGCACUCGAAACUGCGUGGCUUGAGUAUCGGAGAGGUUGGUGGAAUUCUCGGUGUAGAGGUGAAAUUCGUAGAUAUCGAGAGGAACACCGGUGGCGAAGGCGGCCAACUGGACGAAUACUGACGCUGAGACACGAAAGCGUGGGGAGCAAACAGGAUUAGAUACCCUGGUAGUCCACGCCGUAAACGAUGGGUGCUAGGUGUCACGGGCUUUGACUCCUGUGGUGCCGUAGCUAACGCAUUAAGCACCCCGCCUGGGAAGUACGGCCGCAAGGCUA
rnacentral:rRNA from 1 species